rnacentral:tRNA from 1 species
GCCACCGUAGCUCAGUUGGUAGAGCAGCUGAUUUGUAAUCAGCCGGUCGGGGGUUCAAAUCCUCUCGGUGGCU